GUGUUGCCAUAGUAGAAUGUAGAUCUAGUUUUGGAAAAAAUAAACGUCGACUUUCAAAGCCAUCUCGCCCGCUUGACCCUCACUCAACCAUCUAUCCAUAUUCCUACAUCACUUUUUUCUAACUCUGGCACUGUUUGUAGAAUUCGACUGUCUUUUCGCUUGCAACAAGUGCAGUAAGACCUUCAAGGUGUUGGGAUCGUUGAAGCGCCACAUGAAUUACUACUGCGGCAGGAAACCGCCUCCAAUCACCGGCUACAUACAGAUCGCUAAGCAGCUGUGGCAGUGCCAAACCUGCCAGCGAAAAUACAAAACGUUCAACACCAUGAAGCGGCAUUUGGUCUACGAGUGCGGAAAACAACCCUCGAUCUCCUGCCCAGUAUACCAGUGCGACUACAAGGCGAAAAUCCGGGACAGGAUGAUGCAACAUUGCAGGAUGGUGCACAAGUUGAAGCUGUAGGUUCGAACCGGUACUUAAUCACAUGGACGCAAUUGCAUAUAUGUAAAUAGCACAGAAUUUAUUAGGAAUGGUUUAAGCAGUUAAUCAGGCCUGUUGAUUGUGGCAAAGGCCCAAUGGGUAGCUUUAACUGGAUAACUUCGAAAAUAGCUUUAGUUAGUAUGAAGUAGCAAAUAAACUGGCAGGAUUAGUUAGCAGAGUUAUUGUAUGUUCUUUCAAUCCAAAAGUGAAGCGAUGGGAUUCAAUGGCUCGCAAAUUAAGUAGCGCGCUUUGUAGAGUCACACGUUUGCUCAAACUUGCCUCAAAUUUUACUGAAGGAAAAACAGUCUGUAUUUUUAGAUUAAAUACAACUGUGGGAAAAAGGUCCAAUCCACCAGAGCAGGAAACACCAAGACAUCAUGUAUGUCCAAAAAAAUUGAGCUAGAAUCUUUCACUUAGCAAAUACAUAUAUUGUUAAUGUUGAGAGGUUGUUUUAUUCGCACCCACUACCUGUAGCUGUAGAAGUACUAUAGUAAGUAUGCAUUGCAUCACUGUUCUGGAACAGGAACUCAUUUCGCUUUAUUCCAGGUACAACCCCCUAUUCGCAAAUUUUUGAAAAUGUCAAUUUUGUGAACAACACUUGCACAAAAUGUGGGAAACAGUUCAGAAGAAAGGACAUCGUCCAAAGACACUAUGUGGAGUUGCACAUGAGCCUUGUUGAAUUCCCCUGCUCCAAGUGCAAGAAAGUGUUCAAGCGCAAGUACAUGAUGGAGCACCAUGAGAGGAAAUGUCUUGGUGAAGUCAAUCUGCGCUGUUUCAAGUGUUCGCUAGUGUUCGACUCGACGGGAAAAUGGAAACUGCAUAUGCGACGCGCUCAUAACUAUAACAUGGUUCCCGUCUAGGCAAAGUGGUUUAAGAAUUGUUCAGCUGUGCCUUAAUGCAAUUGUAACAAGACUAGUUUAGUACCUAUAUAUAUACACAUAUAUUUAGUUUAUGAAUUCUUGGGGAUGUCGUCCUAAUUGGGAAAUGUGUGUUUAAGUUAGAUGCUCUUCUUUAUUUUCCAACGUUUCGGCAGUGCUCUGCUGCCUUCCCCAGGGUUACAGAUACUGUAAAGACUCUAACAGACCUAUUGUUCUUGAAGACGUUGCGAGAAUUAUUUACAAACUUCUAAUACAUCUACCAAGGUUAAAAAUCAUUAAAGAGCGGAGAUUUCACUUACAUGAAUUAAGGCAGACAAAAUUCCACGUCAGCACAAAAACAAUCCAAAAAACAUGUCAUGGUACACAAACUAAUUUUUUUUUGGUCACGCUAAAAUUUUGUCGAAUUUGAAAUAUUAAAAUAAAAUUAUCUAAAUUAUUAUUAAAUAUUAAAAAAUACUGUCGAAACAGGACUAAAACACAGAAACUAAAAUCUUAAAAUCGGAAUACGAUACAAGUAAGCGGGAACUUUACAAAACAAUUAAAAUAAUCAAUAAUGUAAACAGCAUUAAUUUUAAAACAUACACUAAGCAUUUAAGCAUUAUUUACCAUUUCAUUCUGACUUAAUUAGAUUUCAUUUAUAUAUUUAUAAAAAAAAAUAAAGUAAGAUAAGUGGAGUUUUUCUGGUUGUCUCCAGGCAGAAUCAAACAUUCACCUUUGCAAAUUGUUCAGUCGACAUGACCUCUCAGCAUGGAGAGACCAGAAAAUUGUAUUUUUAUAUUUCAAAUGCGACAAAAUGUUAGCGUGUGACCAAAAAAAAAUUAUUUGUGUACCGAUACAUGUGUUUUGGAUUGUUUUUGUGCUGACGUGGAAUUGUAUCUGACUUAAUUCAUUAAAAUACAAGUGCCAAUCCUGCCUGAAAAAUUACAAAACAUCACAAACGUUGGCACGACAUCAGAAAUAUGAAUGUGGCAGAACGAAAAUGUUCGCUUGCCCAUUUGUAGGGUGUUUCUUCCGAAGCAAGCGCAAAGACAAUCUGAAGUUACAUGCAAGAAAACAUCGGGUUAAAUAAACUUCUUAUUUGACGUUUUGCUGUUUUUCUUUCACUAGUAGAAUGUAGUUUUCUGAGUUUGUCUUAGUAGGGAAACUAGUUGGCGCCUUCGGCUCCCUCGCUCUAUUUACUAACGAUUUUUGUUUGUUUUAGCUGAAAUAUGCAUUGGCAAAGCGCGAUUUAAGAUGAAUUUAUGCCAGUACCAGUUUUUCGCAUGAAACUUGCCCUUAGUUUCCUGCAACUUUCAUAUAACUACUUUAAUAUGAUGUAUUCAAUAUACCAAGUUUACCAACUAGACCAAGAUAAUUAUAAUUUUUUAUAUAAUUUUUUAUUAAUACUCUUAACCUUAAUGUACAUACAUACAAACGACGUUUUCGGAUUUUCAUCGACUACCUACAAUCAAUACAUUUUUAGGCAAUCGAUGCUUUAUAACGGCAGAUGAAGAGCUGGCACGUAAAACCCUCGAGUUGAUCAACAGCGGCAUUUCCAUCCGAAAGGCCGCUUCGAUUUUGCAGAUUUCCAAAAGCUCAGUGCAUACCAUUGUGAAAAAGUUCCGCGAAGGAGCUGGACUGCACUUUUUAAACGCUCUUGGAAAAACGCGACGAAAGUUCCAAAAUAGCGCUGACGAUUCUUCGCUCGAUCUGGACCCGUUUUUUGAGGCCGCAAGAACGCGAGCUAAUCAGGAGAUGAACUGGCCGGAUGACGAUGAGGUGAUUUGCCAGAAGCUAUAUUUUAAUUCGGACAGUGGGCAAUCAAAGAAUCUCUAGAAUUUAAUUAAUAAAAAAUUUGAACAGAUUUCAGAAACGCUCAAAACAUUGUGAAUCAAAAAAGCAAUUUUCUACACAUGUUUUUGUUAUCAUUAUUAUCAAUAACGAUUGUUAGAAUACAUAUUUCUUAAUUUUUAUAGCAUUGUUAGUUUGACUUUUUUCAAUUACCCCCUCAUCGAUUUUAGUUUAGGAUGUUUCGUUCGUGUAAAGUGAAUUACAUGCGUAGAGCAAGGAAGGUGCAUGCAUCAGAAAGAGAGAGAGUAUGAGCAAUACCCUCUUCUCUCUCUUUUCAGCACAAGCAUUGAUGAUCUUCCGCUUGUGAGGAUAUUGACGCCCCCUACAACAGCUUGGGUAUUGCCUGGAUCAAGCCAAGCAAAUUUAAAUAAUACCAAAGUUACCCAAACUAACUUAACCUUUUAUAGCUUGAUGACUAUGAUGAAAACUGACUACUUUUUGUCGACUGUUGAUCGUAAGCGAAAUCUGUUCAGCAAAUCAACCAAAUAUCUGCCUUAAAUACUUGUAAACGGUAUAAAGAGUUAUUAUCCGUAGAGCGAAAUUUCAUUCUCUAAAGUGGUCGAAAAUUUAACCAGUGUUUCUUUUAUUSUAGUGAGUAUGCACGUAUCAGUUGUGGUCCUCAAAUACAUUGUUUUUGUGGGUUGUAUCAUUCUUUUGAGAUAAGUUUUAUACAUAACAAAGUUUAUUGCAUGUUUAAAGAUAUAAUUACUUAUUAAAUAUGUGGCAACUCCCAAGUUUUCAAUAGAUUUAUUACAAAUUUCAAUUUAACUUUGAAAAUGUAAAAAAACCUACAGUUUAGGAGUAAUUUGGCAAUUGAACUCAUAGCUAAUUUUUGUAGCAGAAAAAGAAAACGACCGGCCCCUAUCACUUCAAGAAAAAAUAAAAAAAGUGAAUAUACGAAGAGUUAAUGUUAAUYAUGCGGCGAGAAAGGCAGAUGUAGGAAAACAUUUGCCUACCAAAGGCACAAGUAGAAGAUGCGCUCAUUGCAGCAGUUCAAAACGUUGUAAGAGGACACAUAUUGUAUGCCGAAAGUGCAAUGUGGCCUUGUGCUUGAAUUGUUUUGCACCUUUUCAUGAACUAUAAUGACUACCAAAAAAAAAUAUUGAACAAAAAAGUGUUUACAAUAUAUGGUUGAUAAUUUAACCAGUGAUCAUAUGCUGAUAUUACUGACACUUAACAGUCACUGGUUGAAAAAUCAACCAUCCCCACUCCCCAUAGUAUAAAAGUAAAACAAAUAUCAGAUAAGAAAAAGUACUUCAUUUCAUCUAGUUUUCAUGUUUAUAAAGUAAAUUUGCAAAUAUCAGGAAAAAAGUACUGCCCUAUAAAGGGUUAAAUUAACUCAAGCCAACCCAAACUGACGGUAACUAACUCAAUGUUUAACGUGACUUACAUGCGUGGAACAGGGAAGGCACUCGAAUGCUUGCAUCAGAACGAGAGGUGGACAUUAUCCUCCUUCUCUUUCUAGUACGAAGCAUUCAUGCUCCUCCCUUGUUCCACCCACAUAUUCAAUGGUGCUUGCGAUACUAUUGACGCGAAAUUAAGCCAGUUACUCCGGAGUAUUUUAGAAAAGUGUAAGUUUGGCCCUGGACUAGUUUCCCGUUUUAUUCACUGCACAUUUUUUUAGCAAGGGAAUUCCGGUGCCAGAUGUGCUUCAAAGGCUACUCAGUGAAAAGGUCUCUCUGGCGGCAUCAAAAGUACGAAUGCUGCAGAAUAUCGAAGCCUUUUUCCUGCGCCUUUCCCAGAUGCUCUUAUAAAACCACUCGGAAGUACAUUUUGGCUAACCAUUUGAGACUCAAGCACCACAUCAUGGAUAGUGGCUAGUUCAAUACAAAGCAGGGACAACCAGUGGUGCCAAAUCCAGGCCAUUCCAGUCAACUGCGCUAGUUGAUUCUGUGAUUUUUUUUUAAAUUUUUGUGAUAUUUAAUUUAUUGUGUUUUGUGACCGGAAACAAACUGUAGGUAUUUUCAGUCUUUUGUGAUGUUCAGAUAUUUCCAACAGCAACUUGCAUCUAGUCAGUGUAUCUAGUAAUAUAAAAAAAUUUAACUCCAUGCAGAGGAUUUUCCGGAGUCACGUCAAUGAAUUGUUUUUUCCUUGAAAGUAUGUUUGCUAUCGAGAAAGUGAUGGCAGAAUUCGUUCAGUUCCAGAUGCCGAAAGGCACCAGUGUUCCACUUGCAAGAAAACAUACAAGUUUAAAAGUGGCUUAAGUCAGCAUGCUCGCUACGAAUGUGGAAAAACGCCCCAAUUUGCCUGCCCUGUUUGCAACUAUCGCUCAUGUUUUCGUCAGAAUAUCAACGCUCACUUAAAGAGGCGACAUUCGAAAAAUGCGUUAUAAAUUCCCAGAAGAAUUCGAUUUAUUCGCCAAGUUUUAUCGUUUUAGUAGCUUUUUAGCCAUGAUGUUGAUGAUGAUAGAUUCGAUAAUGGUGAAGAACCAGAGGUGAGUCCAAGAGCAGUUGAAAACUGAAGUUUUCUAGCCGCGUAAAGAUACUGAGCGAUUUAUUUGUAGAUUUUCCAUAUGUUUGCAAAUGCGGCAACAAGUACAAAUACAUCAAAGGCCUGAAGGAACAUCAAAAGUGGUCUUGCGGUAGAAAAAGAACAUGCCCAUGCCCUUAUUGUUCAUACGUGGCUCGAUGGAAAUCCAACCUAACAAGUCAUAUCAAGCGGAAACAUCCGGACGUGGUUUUUUAGUCAUGGUUGAUUAAAGUCGGUUUCAUUCGU